GGGUAUUUAGCAUAACCCUAUUUGUACUUGGUCUUCUUUGGACUCAAAAUGAAUUUUAACUGUUGUUCAGUUUGUGAUUCAUUUUGUUUUUUAAUGGUUUGAUGUAAGAAACAUUCAGGAAAAUGCACACAAUUAACAACUACAAUUUAGUGCAAGAUUUAUCCAAAUAUUAAGUUCUUUUGAUGCCCUUAUAAACAUGUUAUUAUGUUAUGUUAGAAAAUCUUUAAAAUGAUUUUGAUUUCGAUCUGCUCAUUUUUUUAAGGCAGUCUUGAGAGAAAGAACAUUCAAAGAAAAAAAUAAUUUUCUUACUUCUGUUUAUUUUAUAUUAUAUGAAGUUUAAAGAAGGCCAAAAAAAUACAACAGUUCUUAAAUGAUGGGAACAAGGGGAGAAGUAUAACUGAAUACAACAUUUAUUUUCUUAUUUUACAUUUGUUGACAAUGAAUUCAAACUAUUUUGUUAAUACUGACUUAUUGGCUUUCUAUUGAGAACUGUGUAAUUGCAUGUAGUAUGUCAUACACAGACAUGUAAAGAUGGGUGUCCAAUAAAUCAAAAUGAUAUUGGAUGUUCUUGGUGUCCAAUAAAACAAUAUUAUA
rnacentral:misc_RNA from 1 species